AAAAGAGCUCCUUUAGUAAUUAUUUCAAGUAGAUCUUUAGGCAAGUAAACUCUCAGUUUUCAUAUGCUUCCUGCCCCCUUCUCUGUGCACUCCAAAGACUUAUGGAGAGUUUAGCUGGGUAUCAAAUCCUGAAUAGAUUUAUUUCUCUAAGGUUUUAAAGGUUUUUAUUUGUGUCCUGGCAUCCAUUGUUGCUGAGAGAAAAUCUUCCACUUGACAAUUUGAGCUUAUUACUAGGUAAUCUGCCUCAUAUUUAAAGUACCUUUUAAGAUUUCUUCUUUAUCCCAAUGCCCUGGAGUAGAUUUACUUUUUGUUUAUACUACUCAAUGAUUACUUUUUCUUUUAAUUUGAAAACUCAUUUUAUUCUUUAAUUUUGUAAAAUUUUCAAUAAUGACCUUUUCCAAAACAUAUUUUUUGCAGUUGAAUUAAAUUCUUUCUUUCUGGAACUCGCAUCAUAUGUAUGUGGGGUGUUUAAUCUGCCCUCUAUAGCUUGUAAAAUUGCUCUUUCACAUUUUCCAGUACUACUGUCUUAAUUUAAAAAAUAAUAAACCUACCAUUGAAGUAUUUGGCACAGAGGAGGAAGUACAAAGUGCAAACUUGCAGUGUCAUAUUGGCUGCACUUCUGGCACUUUUUUUUAAGUUAUUUUUAAGGCUAGUAUACUGUGUCAGGCAGCUGGUUCAAAAUCAAGUAAAGGAUUCUGGCACUAAAGGCAGUAAAAUCAAGUAAAAUCAAGAUUUCCCCUAUUUUCUCCCCUAAAAUGCUUUCCCCUGUUUUCUCCUCUCAUAUACUUUAAUCCCUAGGUAAUAACUGGGAAGUUUUCCUUUAAAAAUAAUGUGUGGAAAAACAUAAAUAAAGUUAGGAUCUCCAACAAAGAAAGGAACCCAACAAAAAGGGGAGGACAUAUGUAGAUAAUUCACAUUAAAUAUUUCAAAGAAUUAACCUCACUCAUUUUCAAGUAAAUAUAAAUCAAAGCAAUGGAAGAUCAUUUACCCAUCAUAUUAGCAAUGAUUAGAGGAAUAGAAAAUUUUUGCUGAAGUCAUACUGAUGAACUGAUGAAUUUUUCUGCUGGUCUGUUCCAAGUCUAAAUUAGGACAGUUUGAGUGAUACCUGUCAAAAAUAUUAUAAAUGUUUUACCCCUUUCAUGCAGCAGCAUUGUGUCUGAAAAAUAAACCAUUAGAUAAUAAGUGGAAAUACAGGUCAAAUUCCCUCCCCACCAAGAGUUGUCUAUUUUAUCGUUAUUUAUGAUAAUUAAAAACUAGUAGCCAUCUAUAUCAAUGGUCCACAAACUUUAUGAGUUCUGUAGACAGAAAUAAUAGGGUCCUCAUAGUGAGCCCAUAGUCAUACACAUGCAUUAAAAUUUCAUGUGAAGAAACCUCUCAUUCCAUUCCAUUUGUCUUAGUCUAUUUAGUCUGCUACAACAGAAAUAUCAUAAACUGGGAGGCUUAUAAACAGCGCUUAUUUCUCAUAGUUCUGGAGGUUGGGAAGUCCAAGAUCAAGGCUGUGGUCAGAGCCCACUUCCUGGUUCUUAGACAGCUGUCUUUUUGCUGUCUCCUCACAUGGCAGAAAGCUAGAUUUGACCUACCACACUGAUCCCAUCCCACAGCCUAAUUAGAGGUUAUGACUCAAUGAGAAAAGCAGUGGCACCUAAAUAUUGAAUAUGAAUGAAUGCAGCCAUUAAAUUUUAUGUACAUUUUUUUUAAUUUUGGUUUUAGGUUGGUAGGGAUUAUACUUUAUCAACCAGCAAGGGAGAGGCUGUUUCCAUGUAACUUCAUAUAGUGGAGACUUACUGUAAUGAUAUGAGAUCUCUGUUGCUGUACCCAGCCAUCUUUGUGUACCUCUUUCUCAAUACAUCCUGGACCCUUCAUGGGUUCUUCAUGAUGUCCUCAAGUCCCCUUCUCCUCUUACUUGUAAUUUCUUCAAGCUGAUAGAAUCUGCUUAGGUCACCCAACAUUUAAUUUCAAGCAUUUCUCAUCUGCCUGCCAUUGGUCUUGGGACUUCAUUCUAAAUCUAAUCGGUUAAUAUUAGCUGAGCCAGGUUGAUUUCAUUUAAAUCAACAAAAAAUUGCUGAAAGCUGCAUUUCCUAGAAAAAGUGGCAAUCUAACUGGCAGGUGCUUGAGAUGCUAAUGUUAAAUAGAAAAAGUAAAAGGAAAAAUAGUUUGGAUUUUGUUUUUUGUUUUUUGUUUUUUGGUAUGGGGCUUUCUUUAGAAACUUUAUUAGAUGGAGAGUGAUAAAAAGGAAUCCAGAAUUUGUUUCACAUUAUAUUAAUAUUUAGAAAAUUUCUACAAAAGCAAGUAUUAUACAUUUACAAUCAGAAAAGGACAUCAAAAUUGGCUCCGAGGAAAAUGAUCAUUUCAUGAACCAGCAUCAUGUAUUUCUGCUUUUGAUUUAGUUCAUCUUUGGGGUAUAAAUUUAUAGAUGUGAAGUAUCUGUGAAUAAAAUCCUGCUUGACACAGAAAGCCUCAUGUUCUGCUAACACCAUUUCAGAAUACAUUGCUCAGUAUACAAUUUGGUUUGAGGAGACUGGGUACAAAAACUUGGAAAGAUCCCUUUCCUAGGGUCCUACUUUUCCCUACUCUCUCUGUAUAACCAUUAUUUAUUACCCGUUUUUAUUUAUUUGAUAAAUCUCCUGAUAACUUGAGGUUUGAAAACUUGGUCUGGGACAGGGCUGGGCAGAGUUUCACCUAUUUUCUUAAUAGACCAAAAUGAUAUUUCUGUCUGCUGAGGAUAUUCAUUUUUGUGGGCCGUAAUAAUUUCCCCCAAAUAAAACCAUUCACAAAUUCCAAAAUUCUAAAUAAUGUUGGUUCUAGCUCACUAGGAUUUCUAAAUCUCUUAGGAAAAAAAAAAUGUGAUUAUCUCAUAAGGCUUAUUUAAAAAAUCCUGGGAGUUCCCGUCGUGGCGCAGUGGUUAACAAAUCUGACUAGGAACCAUGAGGUUGCGGAUUCAGUCCCUGCCCUUGCUCAGUGGGUUAAGGAUCCGGCGUUGCCGUGAGCUGUGGUGUAGGCUGCAGAUGUGGCUCGGAUCCUGCAUUGCUGUGGCUCUGGCGUAGGCCAGCGGCUACAGCUCCAAUUAGACCCCUAGCGUGGGAACCUCCAUAUGCCGAAGGAGCGGCCCAAGAAAUAGC
rnacentral:lncRNA from 1 species